rnacentral:rRNA from 1 species
AGUGAACGCUGGCGGUAGGCCUAACACAUGCAAGUCGAACGGCAGCACAGGAGAGCUUGCUCUCUGGGUGGCGAGUGGCGGACGGGUGAGGAAUACAUCGGAAUCUACUCUGUCGUGGGGGAUAACGUAGGGAAACUUACGCUAAUACCGCAUACGACCUACGGGUGAAAGCAGGGGACCUUCGGGCCUUGCGCGAUUGAAUGAGCCGAUGUCGGAUUAGCUAGUUGGCGGGGUAAAGGCCCACCAAGGCGACGAUCCGUAGCUGGUCUGAGGAGAUGAUCAGCCACACUGGAACUGAGACACGGUCCAGACUCCUACGGGAGGCAGCAGUGGGGAAUAUUGGACAAUGGGCGCAAGCCUGAUCCAGCCAUACCGCGUGGGUGAAGAAGGCCUUCGGGUUGUAAAGCCCUUUUGUUGGGAAAGAAAUCCAGCUGGCUAAUACCCGGUUUGGAUGACGGUACCCAAAGAAUAAGCACCGGCUAACUUCGUGCCAGCCGCCGCCGUAA